GGUAAUUUGGUGCUUACCAAAAGUUCAGUUCUUUAUACCAACUGUAGGGAAAGAGGAGGCACAGUAAACCCACCCCACAUAUGCCUCAGUCCAGGCCUUUUGCUCGGUCUGUAUUGUGAAUGCAGGGACCAAAG
ensembl:snoRNA